CUACCACAUCCAAGGAAGGCAGCAGGCGCGCAAAUUACCCAAUCCCGACACGGGGAGGUAGUGACAAUAAAUACUGAUACAGGGCUCUUUUGGGUCUUGUAAUUGGAAUGAGUACAAUUUAAAUCCCUUAACGAGGAACAAUUGGAGGGCAAGUCUGGUGCCAGCAGCCGCGGUAAUUCCAGCUCCAAUAGCGUAUAUUAAAGUUGUUGCAGUUAAAAAGCUCGUAGUUGAACCUUGGGUCUGGUUGGCCGGUCCGCCUCACCGCGUGCACUGGUCCGACCGGAUCUUUCUUUCUAGGGAGCCGCAUGCCCUUUACUGGGUGUGUCGGGGAACUAGGACUUUUACUUUGAAAAAAUUAGAGUGUUCAAAGCAGGCCUAUGCUCGAAUACAUUAGCAUGGAAUAAUAAAAUAUGCCAAACGGUAUUAUUUUGUUGGUUUCUAAGACCGUUGGAAUGAUUAAUAGGGAUAGUCGGGGAUAUCAGUAUUUCGUUGUCAGAGGUGAAAUUCUUGGAUUUACGGAAGACUAACUACUGCGAAAGCAUUUAUCAAGGAUGUUUUCAUUAAUCAGUGAACGAAAGUUAGGGGAUCGAAGACGAUCAGAUACCGUCGUAGUCUUAACCAUAAACUAUGCCGACUAGGGAUCGGGCGAUGUUAUCUUUUUGACUCGCUCGGCACCUUACGAGAAAUCAAAGCUUUGGGUUCUGGGGGGAGUAUGGUCGCAAGGCUGAAA
rnacentral:rRNA from 1 species